CCCCCCUCCCACGCGCCUCCUCUCCUCCUUCCCCGCCGCCGCCUGACCUCCUCCUUCUACCCGCUGCUGCCCGGCCUCCUCCCGCCCGCGCCUCCCUCUCCUCCUUCCUCGCCGUCGCCCGGCCUCCUCCCCACCCGUGCCUUCCUCUCCUACUUCCACCCCACCGAUCUGGCGCCACCAAACCCUAGCGCCCCGCCCGGCCCCGGCUCCCACGGGAGGGAAGGAGGAAUGACGAGGCGAGGCAAAGGCGACGGCAUAUGGGACGUGGCGCGGGCGGCGUGGCCCAGGGGGUCGGCCUCCUCCUCCCCUACGGUGGCGCGCCGCCUCCGCCGUCGGCAGGAGGGGGCCGCGGUGGCCGCCGCGCAGCCCGACCAGGAGCUCCCCGGCGAGCAGCCGUUCCCCUACGAGAAGAAGGUGAGGAGGACACGCCCCUGCGUCAAGAGAUCCGUCAAGAGUUGCUCGCACCGGGAGAGGAAUCCACGUCUGCUCCUGCUGCUCGACUGAUUCCAGAGGGGUAUUCUGAAAUUACCAGAGGGAUGGUCAACUGCGAUGGGGCCUUUUCUCCGUGUUCUUGCACUUCACAGGAGCUAGCCCUGCUUACUGAAAUCUUGUUAAAGCAUUUACUUAGCUAGAUUGGAAGUCUAAAGACAGGAAGUAAACUUUGCAUUUGCUCUCGUCACAGCAUCACAUAUUCUUUGAGCAGUACACAAGUCAGAUUGAAGAUAAUUUCCAAGUCAUGGCUAGAGAAUGUUGAAGAUAAUUUCCAAGUCAUGGCUAGAGAAUGAAAGGGCUAAUAUUUGGAUUCUUCAUAAGAUGUAAAAAAAUCUUUAUGUUUGUACCGUGCAAUCAUACUUAAUCAUUAAUCUGACAAGGCUGGAAUAUUUGUUAUAGUAGCUAAUGACUGAGCCCCUGCUAUGUCUCGAAUAUCAGUAACCUCCUAGGUCUUUAACUAAUAGAAAUAAAUUACUCAUUUAUAUGAUUAUUCAACAUGGUGUUUGCUUUAUCAUGUUUCUGGUUUCUCUCGUUUGUUCUUCCAACAUGAUAGACUGCUGGUCUAGGAAUAUCAUAGCAUCCAUCUUGACCAAACAAGUACUGAUAACCUUCUCUUCCACUAUUAGGGCAUUGAUAUGCUCUUUUGAAUAAUUUCCAGUUUUCGAAGUCCAUCGCUGUAUUUUGGUUGGUUCAUGAGUGCACCAUUAUGUGAAGAUUCCGUAAUGAUGCUUUUAUUUGGUUUCACUUGGUGCAGGGCAAGAAAUUAGUUUUUGUAGGAAGUCGAGAAGGCAGUAUUCAAAGAAAUUCAAAACACUUGGCCUUGAAGUUACUGAGGAAGAGAUCUUCACGUCAUCAUUUGCAGCAGCCAUGUUCUUGAAGUUAAAUAAUUUUUCUCCAGAAAAGAAGAAGGACUGUUUCUAGCUCUUAACUCCUUCCUUCAUCCUUCAUCUGCAAAACGUGCCAAAAAAGACGAAUUUAUUCACCUGCAUUUUUCUCGGUCAUUUUGGGCGCAGAAGUAGACUCAGCGGACAUUAUGUCAUGGACGAACUGUAGGUGGCUCAGUCUGAUUGACACAAGAAAGGGGCAAGGCCAGCUCCAUGUUCCUCUAGCAGAACUGGACCACCAAUCGUUAUAGUUCUGGUCUCAGGAAGCAGGAUGAAUUGGUCCAUCAACGAACACUUUUGCUGCAGAUCUUGGCAGCAAAAAGAGAACUGACUAGGCCCUGGUCAUCUCCGCCCCUGAUAGUGCUCCUAGAUGUGCUACACAUCACCUCCUCGUCUCCUUGGCCGCUUCGCAGCCAGUGGCGUUCGUGCUCGUCGGCAGGACGGUGCAAGGCGCCACUCGAACGUGGUUCCUCGCCGGUUGGACGGUGUUCAGCCCGGCGCCCACUGAGUACUGCCUCGGCUACAACCUCCCUCGGUGAGCUCCAUCUUCCCCUGCUCUACUUCGGCUACUAUAUGGGACAUGGGCAGGGCUAUGAUGAUCAGUUGUCGCUGAUAUAGGCAUGCUCUCGAGCAAUCAAGGCACUUGUGGGUAUUAAUUUGGAUCCUCCCUCGUUUCUUUGAGUCGUUUUGAUCACGUUCUUAUUUUAGUGGCUCCUAUCCUUGGAUGGUCAUUUCUGAUGAGUGAUAACCAGGGCAGUUUCACCCUCAUGAGAACAUAUUGAUCUGGUGAUCCAUCCAUCAAGAAAUAAGGGAUGCAGUCACUCCCGGGCGCUCCCAGAGCUCAGGUGAUUCUGGCCGUCGGAUCAAUUUCCUGAUGCAAUUCUAGCCGCCGGAUCUCGCUCCGGAUUGAUCUCGGCCAUUGGGUCGAGCCUGAGCUCCUGUAGCAAUGAAUAGUUACUCCCGCGGUGAGAUAUCUUGUGUCAUCGCGUGUGAAUCACGUGCCCCAUCGGUCGGAAGCCAUUCUUGCUAGGGCGAUGAUGAUUAACCGUCGCUGAAAUAAGUGUGCCUUUGAGCAAUCGAGUUACCUGUGGGUAUCAAGUUGGAUCCUCCCUCUUGUCUCUAGAAUCCUUUUUGAUCCUGUGAUACUUAUUGUUCUGUCCUUGGAUGGUCAUUCUUGUUGAGUGAUAACCAGGGCAACUCUACUGCAUAAACAAAUUGAUCUGGUGAUAAGAGAUGAUGGGGGUAGGUUAUAUGAUCGAGGAAAGGCGAAUCUGAGCCCACUAUGCAAUAGAACUGCAGCUACCUCCCCUAAUGUGUGUAGUAUUGAAGGCAAUAAAGAACUUUUCAUGUCUUGCCACUUUAAAAUUCAAAAAAGGUUCAUUCUUCCUUUGCUGGUUACUUAACCAUGAUUUUUGUUUUUCUUUGGUUCUGGUUGAGAUACUAAAGGUUGUUUAUUUAUGAAAAGAACAAACACUUGUAGUUUUGUAUGCCUCAGCUGUUGCUUAGGAUCCAGUGUUGUAGUGCUUUGCCUAAUUACAAAUAACUCUAAUCAAUAAUAGUGGUAUCAAUAAUAGUGGUUCUUUCCUUCUGAUUUGAACUGAGAGAGAGAGCCAUCCAUUGAUUCUUGAUCUUAAGGUGACCCCAUUUUUCUACGCCUCAUGCUCAUGCUGCUCUAUGUUCCCUUUUAAAAAUUCUUGCUUGCAUUUUGGGUUGGUUUCUGCUCUAUGUUCCCUUUUAGCGUUUCUUUCCGUUGUUGCUGCACUCCCUUUUGGGCGUUCAUUUCAUGCCCGGGAUCUUGCAAAUUGUGCCUGUGUCGAGCUUGCUUAGAGUACGGGCUGCGGAGACGUCGAGGACCUCAAGGUCACCGAUGUUGUGGAGCUGGAUGAGGUUUCCACGCAGUUCAUCGACCGCCUGUUCUUCCUGGAGAAGGUCUAGAGAUGAUUUACUCUGCCAGGCGGCAGCACUCGAAGCACACAGGAUCCUGAACCUCAACAACAACCCCUACUUUUCUGGGCCCUAAUUUAUUCAAAGAACACUACAUGUCACAUGAAUUCAAAAUUACUUCUCUGGAGAUAUUCUCCAUGUUUGAUGGCCAUGACCGAGGUUUGAUGUUUUUGUAUUUGCUGGGAUUUGAUAGGACCAGGAGUCCAGGACCAUGAUACUCGUAGUACUGUUCCAUGGCACUGACAGUGAAACAUAUCACAUGCUCAGCAAGAAAACAAAGUCUCAGCCUACUACCUGCAGGACUUUAGUCUUUAAUGACUAAAUGAACGGAUCACAUGAUACAUAGAUGGGGAAUGCCAUUGCUCAAAGGCGAGCACACGUGACCUUAUUGAAGGAGUUUUGCCCUCCAUUUGUGUCUCAAAUGUCGAUGAUGCCCUCUGUGCUAUCACUCGCAUGUCCUUUUUAUUUUGUUUAUUCAGCGAAUGUUGGAUUAGACAAGGAUUUAUUCACGUUGGAUCUGUACAACUAUGGACUAUUCAUGCAAUUUUUUAUUCAAACUUUGAAAUGAGAGAAUUGGAUGCUUUGUUGUUGCAUGUUUUUUCUUGAUGUUAGAUUAUCUAUUGCCAUUUUUAUGUAUU